GCGGUCGUGGCCGAGUGGUCAGGCCCCUGGUCGCCAUCCAGGUGAACACGGGUUCGAAUCCCGUCGACCGCU
rfam:Myxococcus xanthus DK 1622, complete genome.